AUUGAACGCUGGCGGCAUGCUUUACACAUGCAAGUCGAACGGUAACGCAGGGCACCCUGGCGACGAGUGGCGAACGGGCGAGUAAUGCAUCGGAACGUGCCCGGUAGUGGGGGAUAACUGCUCGAAAGAGCAGCUAAUACCGCAUACGACCUGAGGGGGAAAGGGGGGGAUCGCAAGACCUCUCGCUAUUGGAGCGGCCGAUGUGGGAUUAGACAGUUGGUGGGGUACGGGCCCACCAAGGCGACGAUCCGUGGCUGGUCUGAGCGGGCGACCAGACACGCUGGGACUGAGACACGGCCCAGACUCCUACGGGAGGCGGCAGGGGGGAAUUUGGGACAAUGGACGCAAGUCUGAUCCAGCCAUGGCGCGUGCGAGAAGAAGGCCUUCGGGUUGUAAACCGCUUUUGUCAUAGAAGAAAUCUUCUGGGUUGAUACCUCGGGAGGAUGACGGUAUCUGAAGAAUAAGCACCGGCUAACUACGUGCCAGCAGCCGCAGUAACAC
rnacentral:rRNA from 1 species